AGAGUGUCCUUUAAAUACUACAGACUACAAUAAAUGAGAUAUUAAUGUAUACAGAAUGCCCAAUCAGUGAAUAUUAAUGUAUUCAUGAAAUUUAUUUCGAACAUAGUAGAUUUCUAGCCGUUUAAAAAAAUACAACCUCUCAAUCUUUUCUAUGUCUUAAUGUUAUUUUCUGAGGGUAUUUUACUUCACAAUCAAAUGUAAUACUACUGAUUAUUUUCUGAGGGUAUUUUGCUUCACAAUCAAAUCUAAUACUACUGAUUAUAAAUUGAAUCUGAUUUAAUAAUAGUAUUGAAACACCAAAUCUACUUUAUGCUCAGGUAAGUGAAAUUGAAUUAGUGACUUGCCACUGAUUCUCUUUGAAUGACAGAUUAGUAUUGUGUGAUUAAUAUUUAAGUAUAUGUAGUUAAAAGAAGUAUAAUGAAAAGACUUAUUUAUUAAUAGAUUUUUAUGACAGACUAUAUUAAUUUUGUUAUUUGGAAGGCCAUUCUAAUUAUUAUGUUUCUUUGGGAACCUAAAUUACUUUUUUAAGAGCAUGCUGGCCAUUUUUUACCCUAUAAAUACCCUUUCCUAACUGCUUCUACAAUCACUCACCAACCCCUCACAACUGAAAACACUUAACCGAAUCAGCACACAAACUUGGUGGAGUUUCUUUUCAAGUUCUUAUCUGCAUUCCCCUUGAUUGAAUCUUCUUUAUAUAUUUCUUCCUAUUUGUAUAGAUUGUGGAGUAAUGUCUCCUUUUGUAACCUGCUUAAACAAUCUUUCCAAGGCAAUCACUACCUCCACCAUUAAAGUACUCCACCAUUAAAGUAAGAUGUGUCUGUAGGUAUGAAGGGGUUCCAGAGGAUAAAAAUGAUAACAGCCUAGAGUGUGUUUUGCAUGAUAAUGUGGGGACAAGAAUCCAAGCAUCAUUCAGUCCAUGUUUAUGUUAUCUCCUGUAAAUUCUCAGCUACAUGAUUAUGCAGUUAUCUAAGUUGAAUUUGUCAUUAAGUCCAUGUUUAUGUUAUCCUAAUUUCACAAUGUUACUAAUAGUGCUAAAUAUUUUGCAUAUGUAAAAACUCAUUUUACAAUGUAGUUUUCUUACCUUGAAUC